AGUCUAAGAUGCUGCUAAGAUGCCAGUCUAAGAUGCUAGUCUAAGAUGCUAUCCUAACUGCCAGUCCUUGAUGGCCAGGGAUUCUAUCCUAACUGCCACAAGGACCAUGUGCUGCAGCCAAAGGACCAUGUGCUGCAGCCCCACAAAGACCUUAGUACAUAGACUUAUCCAUCAGAUUCUACCUUGUUUUACAUGAUGCAAUCACUUAAGCUAGACUUGAAAAACUGUUUGCUUGGACAUGAUCAUACAUACCAUGUUAUUGGCAUUUCUCUCAUUUAUGAUGAUGACACUUAUUUUCCUCAUGCUAGACCUAUGCUUAAUGAAACAUCUCAUUCUCAUGCUAGUCUGGAGGUUAAUGAUUCACAUCAUCCUUAUGCUAGCAUGGAGCUUACUGAUUUAUACCAUCCUAAACAUGUGCUUUAUAGCUAUGCUUAUGUAAUUGGGUAUUCGAUUGGUGAUUUAGAGGGCAUCGACCCUGUCACUUGUAUUGUCUCUUUGGUGAGUUCUUUUUCAGGUUUUUGCAUGUGCACCAUUCAAUAUAUGCUGACCAGGUUCGAGGUGACAUUCCUUGGGACCCCGGUGGAUUCAGAGCAUGGUGAAGGGGGGAAGCAAUGGACACACGAAGAAGAGAGAAGCUGGAGCUUGCAAGUGGAAGCAAAAGGAGAAGAGCUGCAGUUCAGAGAGUGAUUGUGCGAGACCUACAUCAUAUAAGCCCGGUGAGCUGUUUCAUGACCCCAAUCUGAAUAUAUCAUCCAUUGAUAAUGCUGAAAUCAUUUGAUAUUUGAGUUGCUUAAGCCAUUUCUUAAAUGAUGUCCCACUAAAUUUUACCUUUGACAUAUGGUGCUUGAUGUGAAUAUGUGAACUGAAUUGUGAAUGCCUUGUAGACUAGUGAUCUACAUAGUGCUUGCUUUGCUGAAAUUAGUGAAAGUUAUUAGUUUUGAGUGCUCAAAUCCCUAGUACACUAGAAAGCUCCAUCAUUUUCUGCAUUUACUUUGAUACACCUAGAUCAUCAAGUGUUAGAUGCUGAAUUUGUGCCAAGUGUGUUCCCAUUCAGAGCAAUCACUUAACCACUAUGGAUUAGCAUGCUAUGUUCUCUGGAUCGGUAGCAUGUGAACCAGACAUGGAUGAGUGAUGAUUCUUGUUUCCUUCCUUAUGUUUCAUGCCAUUGUAAUUCCUUUGUUCAAUAUGUAAUAAUGAAUAUAAGUCUAGUCUACCUAUAGUAGCAUGUCAUGUUCCCUGGAUCGGUGGCAUGUGAAAUCUGGUAGCUUGGACAGUAAUGAAUUAAUAAUAAAAAUGUAAUUGUCGAAACAGGUGUAUACCAUGUUCUCUGGAUCGGUGGUAUGUUCCUUUGGGGAGACAAUUAAAAAAAACCUAACAAUUGGUCGAGGCAGGUGUAUACCAUGUUCUCGGGAUCGGUGAAAAGUGCGACAAGGCACAAAAUCCUUCUACUACAAAUGAUCAAGAGCGAUGGACCCGAGCGAGAAGAAAAGAAGUUACCAGGGGCAAGCUAAAGAAGUGGGAGGAUCUUCUUGUGAAGAAAGAAGAAGAGGAAGAGGGCUAAUGUGCAAAAGUGGCAGAUUAGAUGGGGAACAAAAUCCCUAGCGGCUCCCUUCGAUCUCUUCGGGCCUGGACAUCUCUCUCUCUCCCGCCUCCUUCUCCACCUCGGCCGCCGCCGCGGCCAGGCCGACGUGGCGGCGCGCCACCGCGCGACUCCCCUUACCUCUGCUGCUCUCUUCUUCCCCAUCGCCAACCUGCGGCUGCUUCUUCUUCCCACGCCCCUGCUGCUGCUUGCUCUCUCAAUCUCUGCUACUACUUCUCCUUCCCUCCGCUGCUUGCUACUUCUCCUUCUUCAACCUACUGCUGCUCGCCCUCAACCUCCCUCUGCUGCAGCUCUUCUCUAAGCCCUCAUGACCCUGCUGCUCUUCCCUAACUCCACGUUCCUGCUGCUCCUCUUCUCCUAAUCUUGUUGUUGCUCUUCCUGAACCCUUGCUGCUGCUCCUUCUCUCCUCCACCUCUUGCUGCUGCUUCUCUCUGAACCGAACUGCUGCUGCUCCCUCUCCCACGAACCUGCUGCUGCUCCUCUCUCCCUGAUGCCCCUACUUCUUCUCUGAAUUCCAAACUGUUGCUGUUCUUUGUCUCUCCCCCUCUUUGUGUGUGAGUGAGUGUGUGCGUGUGCGUGCGUGUGUGUGUGUAAUUUCUGUGAACAAUUAGAGUGGAGACUUGAUAGAUUGUACUCUGUUUUACACUAUUUCAAUAUAUGUGAAUCACCCAUUCAUUA